UACGUAGGGGGCUAGCGUUGUCCGGAUUUAUUGGGCGUAAAGCGCGCGUAGGCGGCCUCGUAAGUCCGUUGUGAAAGUCAAAGGCUCAACCUUUGAAAGCCGAUGGAUACUGUGAGGCUAGAGUCCGGAAGAGGCGAGUGGAAUUCCUGGUGUAGCGGUGGAAUGCGCAGAUAUCAGGAGGAACACCAAUAGCGAAGGCAGCUCGCUGGGACGGUACUGACGCUAAGGCGCGAAAGCGUGGGGAGCGAACAGG
rnacentral:rRNA from 1 species